GUGCUCGUCUUCGGCAGCGCAGAUACUAAAACUGGAACGAUGCAGAGAUUUGCAUGGAUGCUGCGCCUAGGAUGACACGCAAAUUUGGGGAGGCGGUGGCACCUUUG
ensembl:snRNA Gm25343 predicted gene, 25343